GCGGUCGGACACGAAGCUCCUUGCUCGACUUUCGAAUUCUCCCCACUCCAGCCCUGAAUUCACCACCUCACCGAGUCCUGGCUGUUCCAUCCCUACGAUGGCGACGCCCAGCGUCGAUUCGUGCGCAUUUCCAUCCCCAACUCAGAGACUCAUCCUCUCAUGGACGUCUGUGCGCUUAUCGAGAGGCAAUUGUUUUGCGAUAAACCAGUGUAUCAACGUAAAAUUGAUAAUGUGCUCGAAAUAUAUUCGACUAGUAUAUUGGAUCGUAUAAAAUGGUGCUAAAGGGGACACAAGGGGGAAGACGAAGAGGAAGAAACACGAGGGGAGAAGAAUGGUGCUAUGGAAUGGCUAGGGGAAUGAGAGGAAAGGGAAAGAUGCCGGCUGGCAAGCAGAUGGUUGCCCCGUUUAUUGGUUUAUUCGUCGGUUCAGCCAUGACGUUCCGUCUAGCCAUGAAACAAGACCGGAGGUUCUCCUUGUGUUAGAGAGUAUCAAGUAACAAGACCACGACUACUCUUUCUAUUAAAAAUGCAUCCAAGAGCCAUUUGCUCAUGUUGCAUUGGCGAGGAUAUAAAAGCAAUUUCGGCGGUGACGUGUAAACGUGCAGGAACAUAUAGAUGAAAUCCAGUAAUGGCGUCCUAGGGGCGGACGAAAUGUUCGGGUCGAUAGAAGGAAGGCUACCCACGGAGCUCAAAUACUCUCUCAUCUUAUUGCCGACAAUCAUCCCCACCAACAGCUCUUCAGCGACUCAUUGUUAGAGAUAUAAUCGGCAAUUAUCUGAAAUAAUUGCAUGCAAACGAUCUGCUCGCUCGUGUCAUGACCAAGUAACCUGGAAAUGAAAGGUACGUCGACACACGUACAGGAAUAAAAGGAGCUGUACCGCUAAGAAGACGAAGAAGAAGAAGAAGAAAACCAAGGAGAACGCGACCUUGCUACAUUCAGCUGUGUCAUUCUCAAGCCGUUAACGCUCAGGUGGUUUCGAUCCCAGGGACGAGCAUCAAUCAUCAUCGGUAGUGCAGGUGUAAUGUGAUCAUUGUCACUGAGAUAACCCAGUACGAUAUUCAUUUAUGAAGCGUGUUAAGUGACAUAACAGAGUUUAUCUGUAACAGCGUAUCUAAAUACUUUGUGAAAGAAGCGACUUCAAUAUUAGUACCUUGAUAACAUGCAAUUUGUUGGGGCAGAUCGUUGUCGGAUCAAAGCCAUUACGAAACAAUUAUUCAUUCAUAUUUAACGAAAAUGGAAAGGUUUUAUGAUGUAAAAACAUAGUAGCGGAGAUACGCUAAUUAAAGUUAAAACAUAAUUGCGGUCACGCGAAUACACAGAGUAAGGAAAAUAAAGAAUAGCAAAUUUUUCCGAUUU
rnacentral:lncRNA from 1 species